AACGAACGCUGGCGGCAGGCCUAACACAUGCAAGUCGAGCGAGAUCUUCGGGUCUAGCGGCGGACGGGUGAGUAACGCGUGGGAAUAUGCCUCUUGGUACGGAAUAGCCUCGGGAAACUGGGAGUAAUACCGUAUGUGCCCUUUGGGGGAAAGAUUUAUCGCCAAGAGAUUAGCCCGCGUUGGAUUAGGUAGUUGGUGGGGUAAUGGCCUACCAAGCCGACGAUCCAUAGCUGGUUUGAGGGGAUGAUCAGCCACACUGGGACUGAGACACGGCCCAGACUCCUACGGGAGGCAGCAGUGGGGAAUCUUAGACAAUGGGGGCAACCCUGAUCUAGCCAUGCCGCGUGAGUGAUGAAGGCCUUAGGGUUGUAAAGCUCUUUCAGCUGGGAAGAUAAUGACGGUACCAGCAGAAGAAGCCCCGGCUAACUCCGUG
rnacentral:rRNA from 1 species